AUAGAACCAUUGUUGCGGUUAAAAAGCUCGUAGUUGAAUCUAGGCCUGAGGCCUGGUCCACUCCUUGAGUGCGUACUAGGUUCUUUGGCUUUGGCGUCGGUUUUCUUGUCGUGGCCUUUAUUGGUGGCGGCAAGUGGCUGACAAUUUUACUUUGAACAAAUCAGAGUGCUCAAAACAGGCGUUUCGCUUGUAUGCUUUUGCAUGGAAUAAUAGAAUAUGACUUCGGUUUAGUUUUAUUGGUUUUAUAGAUCGUUGUAAUGAUUAAAAGAGACAAACGGGGGCAUUCGUAUUGUUGCGUGAGAGGUGAAAUUCUUGGACCGCAGCAAGACGACCGACAG
rnacentral:rRNA from 1 species